rnacentral:lncRNA from 1 species
UGAAAGCCCAACAAGGCCUAGCCCAUUACCCCUUCUUCUUUAACCCUUCCAAAACCCCUUCUUCAAAAACCGAGGUAUGGAAAAAACCCUAGUCUCUCCUUCUUCUUUAACAUACACAAGAACAAACCUAACACCCUAAGAACCAGCCACACACACAGUCAUAGCCCCACCUCUCAACCACCACCCCUAAGAACUAGCAGAACUCCUCUAACAGCUUCCUCCCAAGUUAAAACCAGAAAAUCCCAGCCGUUGAAACACCCAACCGGCACCAUAGAACUCACACAAAAAUGCCAAGAUAAAUCCAGCAAUUAAUAUAAUUUCUAUCAAGUGUUUUAGUCAAAGUCUCAAUUCUUGGCUUAUGUCCAAACUUGCAUGAAGUUAAAAGUUCUUUAAUAACAAUUUUGAUUAUUUUAUUUAGUAAUGAAAUGGUAUUUUUUGUGUGGUAUACUGGUGCACAGAAGGUGGGAUAUAGGUCCUUAUAAGUUAGUCUUUGCAAUAUUAAUGGUUUUCAAGGUAAGAAUCCUUAAAGGUGUAUUGAGGCCGUUGAAUUUAAAACUCCGAGAUCUGCUCGAGGUCAGAGUCUGAGGUUCCGCUCGAGAUACGCGGUCCCGGUGUAAAUUUGAAGUGCUAUUAUCGGAUUGCACAAUAUUGUCUCUUGCAAGGGGAUCUUUCAUCAAUUCAAUUUUGAUCACCGUUUGGGUUCCACUUGAGGUGAACUCUUUACUUUGUUCUUUAAGCUCUCAUGUGUGUGAUUUAUGAUUGCUUGAGUUUCAUGCUUUAACUGCUAAUUUGUGAUUGACGUUCCAUAUUUUGUUCCAAGUCUAUUUGAGUUGAAUAUUUUAUGUAAACAUUGUUGAAUUCUUAUAGCAUUUGAAUGAAGGGUUCGGGCUUAAACGUAAAUGACAAUUUGAAUUGGAAAUGUUUCUUACUUUUAUUUAUCGUUUAUCGCUAGUAGCAUGUAUUAGGCCACUCACACCUGGGUAGGCAAACUUUAGGAUUUUGUUAAGUUUUGAGGCGAGAGGUCGUUCCCUUAGUUAAAUUUAUCCGGGGAAUGCCCCGAAGGAUUUGUAUAUAUUUUAUUCCGAGGAAUGCCCCGUAGUAUUCUGUAAUUAGAGGCCGAAAGCGAACUUGUAGUACUUUUGCAAUUAUUUUGUUUUUCUUUUUGCUAUUUUCUUUUAUUAAGUGGGGACGACCUCAAACCUAUUUCGUGUUUAUUUUUUUUCUUUAUGUGUUUUUACCUCAACUUAAAUAUUUUAAAAGCCAACUUGAUCAAGUAAGCGACCGUACUAGUUACGGGAAUUGGGGAGUGCCUAACACCUUCUCCCCGAGUCAAAUGAACCCUCUUACCCGAAUAUCUGGUGUGGACUUGGUUUUAGAGUCUGAAAUAUUUUAAAAGGAAAGAUCAUUUUUUUUAAAAAAAACGAUGACCUGGCACACCGAAAUCAAAGUCAGGUGGCGACUCUGAGUUAUUUUCCUUUUGAAUACAAUUUUUGUCACGUUCUAAUUAGAAAACCCUUUUCAAGCUUUACUAAAUCUUUUAAUAUUUUUAAGAGGGUUAGUGAGGUUGGUAAAAAAAGGGGUGUGACAUCUCUGGCGACUCUGCUGGGGAGUUGUAAGUUUGAGCUGGUACUUGAUCUUGUUGGCUUUUAGGAAAUUCGGUUGAGGUGUUUGUUUUCUUUAUUUGCUUUGUUUGUCUUAUUUUCUUGUUUUGUUGGUUAUUUGUUUAUCGCUUUUCUUAAUGUGUUACUGUUUUAUAAACUGUCAUCAUUUGCAUAACCAUGGGUCUUCUUUCUGCAACAAGUCUCGGAGUACGCGUCGCGUGCACGAAAUCUUUGUUGAGUCACCCUUAAUUUAGGAGGGGGAGGGGGCGUCAGACGUAUGGAGUGGGUGGAAAGCUUGAGCAUCCACCAUCGACCAUACGCUCUCCCGAAUUGCCUUGUUAGUGAACACCAAACUCAGGUCAGCCUUUAGGUCAUAUUUAUUUGCAUCAUGUCAUUUAGACCUAGCAGGGCUCGGUCCCAGGUACCGUGUCCCUUUGUAGGAAGCCUAUCCAAAUUUUGUCAAAAUGGGCUUGUGGCCUAAAAAGACAUUCAAUCAUCCCUAUGUGAUACAUGUUGCAUCUUUGAGGGUAAAAAGGUCAUUUGACGGACCGAUGUUUGGGAAAGUAGGGUGAAAGACGAAGCAAGUAGGGCCUAGUUAUAUUUUUUUUCACUACUUUUUCAACAAAAAAAAAAAGAAAAGAAAAAAAAUGAAAAUGAAAAAUCCAAAAAGAUUUUACACUUUCCCAUUAUUUUCCAAAAAUUUCAAAAAAAAAUCCAAAAAGAUUUUGCACUUUUCCAUCAUUUUUCCAAAAAAAAAAAGAGAAUACAAAAAAGAUUUUACAUUUUCCAUCAUUUUUCGAAAAGACAAAAAAAUAUUUUUUUUCUCCCAUAUCCAAUCUUCCCGAACUACGCAUACCUGAUUCUUAUCUUUUGGGGUGGGAUAUGUAGGCAGUCCACAUAGGGUCCGAUCUUCCUAGUAAGUCUUAGGUUCUUGGCUUCGACGGGUCUUAGCCAAAUCUUGCAUGUCUAGCCACUUUUGGCCACAUCGGCCAUUCUUGCAAAAUUGGAUUAUUUUCGCAAAAAUGUUUCAAUUGCCCAUGUCUUAGGAUCUUGAGUCCACAAAUCGGUGUAAUAUUACUUUAAGGUCCUUCCUUUUUGAGUUUGCAUCUUUAGUCACUUUCGGCUACAUAGGCCAUUUUUGCAAAAUGGGUCAUUUCUGCAAAUUAAUUUUUUUGGCCGUGAUUAUUGGGAAUUUGAAUCCAUAUAAGACUUAGUGAGGCAUUUUCCAUGUCUAUGGGGUCAACUUGUUGAGUCUACACUUCUAUCCACUCUUGGCCACAUAAGUUAAUUUUCACAAAUGGCCCAAUCGCGUCUUGUAUGUGUCCCAUAGGAGGUGUUGUGGCAUCGUAUAGUGUCUUGAGCCGCUAACUCUAUUUGAUCUUAUUUUUCUCAUUCAGGUAUGGAUCAAUUUGCUAGAGUUUGAGCAUGACAAAUAUCCUAGGACCAUUCUAGUCAAGGCCAUUGCAUGCACGAGUUGCUUGAGGAAACUUUUUAUUUUUUUAGUCUAUUUUAUGUUGUCUUUUAAUUAUUAGUCUUGUACAGUAGUAUCGAGUUUGUCAGUCUAGUUAAGAUUUUUGAGUCUUUUGUUAUAGUACUUCCUAUUUUGUAUUUGAAAAACCAAAAAAGAUUAUUAAAUGAAAAUUCCAAAAAGAUUUUUUGUUUCUUAGUUUAUUUUGUCCAUUAUUUUUCCAGAACUACGCGU